AAGAGGCUAAUGGGAAGUAACAUUCUUCCAAUGGGUGUCAUCAGUCAGUGAAUUCUAGGAGUUGGCAAGCAACAAUAAAAGUAGCUUAUGAAAGAGCAAGAAAUGAGUAGAAACACCCAAAAUUGGCCAGUAGAAUAUGCAAAUAUUCUCCACAGUUGCCUAUGAAAUUAAGAAAGGAGAAUGUGAAGGGAACAUGCAUAUCUGCAAUCCUGCAAGAGGAGUGAACUGGACUAACCACAGGCUGCUGUCUGUUUCAGUGCAUUCUGGUCCAUCUCUACUGCCGAUUAAUUGCCUAUGCUCAAAGACGGAGUUCAUGAGUUGUUGCAGGGGAAGAUGAUAGAGGGCCCUUUUUGGCAACACCUGGAGACCAGUCACACCUGGAGACCCUUUAGUGAAACUCAGGAAUGGAAAGGAGAAUAGAAAGCAUCCAAAGUAUUCUGGUGGACCACACAAUGAUGCUGCUCAAACCUGAUCAACCAGCUGCUAGUAAUGCUGCCAGCUUUGAGGAAUUGGCAGCCUGUCUACAACACCUGGAGAAAUGAUGGAUGUAUACCUAUUGGAGUGCUACACAGACCCCUAAAGAAGUUAAUUUGGAUUUGCACAUAUUUAGCUGGUUCCUAGUGGCAUAGUCCUCAGGAGUUUUCAACCUUAGCACUCUAAUAUUGCUUAAAAAAAAAAGACUAUCUUCCAAUCAAUCAGUUAUAACUGUUUAUAGAAAAUAAAGGGAACAUAGUGAAGUGAUUAGAAAAACA
rnacentral:lncRNA from 1 species